GCCCGGGUGGCUCAGUCGGUUGGGCGUCUGACUUUGGCUCAGGUCAUGAUCUCACGGUUCCUGAGUUCAAGCCUCACAUCGGGCU
rfam:Felis catus isolate Cinnamon breed Abyssinian chromosome D1, whole genome shotgun sequence.